UACGGGGGGGGCAAGCGUUGCUCGGAAUUACUGGGCGUAAAGGGCUCGUAGGCGGCCAACUAAGUCGGAUGUGAAAUCCCCAGGCUCAACCUGGGAACUGCAUCCGAUACUGGAUGGCUUGAAUCCGGGAGAGGGAUGCAGAAUUCCAGGUGUAGCGGUGAAAUGCGUAGAUAUCGGGAGGAACACCAAUGGCGAAGGCAGCUUGCUGGGACGGUACUGACGCUGAGACGCGAAAGCGUGGGGAGCAAACAGG
rnacentral:rRNA from 1 species